rnacentral:lncRNA from 1 species
CCUCCAUCUAUGGUCUUCGUCGAUUAUCUUACAAUCAAUACGGUCCUCUGGCAGCGAGAUCAGAACUCUACCGUUACCAUGGACCAUCACGAGACCAUGGAACAAUCGAUGGGGACGUUCUCAAGAGGACUUGGCUGAUGGUAAACUUCCUACAGACGCCAAUUGACGUUGGAGUCAACUUGACUGAACACAAGAUUGCUAGACUUCAGCCUCUAACAUAAGCUGCCGAUGUAUAAUCGACCGGGAAUCUG